rnacentral:lncRNA from 1 species
UGUCUCCAGAACCCUAUGGAACCAAUUGUUUCAGAAGAUGGAAUGAAAACCAUAAUGCCAUCCUUUAACUCAUUGGUUGUGUCUGCAGAGCUCCAGCAAAUUAUUGAGAGCUUUAAGAUCCAUGUACCUACGCCAAUCCAGGUUCAAACGAUUCCUCACGUUAUGAAGGGUUCACAUGUGCUCUGUGCCGCAGAGACCGGUAGGUGCGGAUAGAGGACUGUCUUGUAAAUACCUCUUUUGUAGUGAGGCACAGCCAUUGUUUGUAUUCCAUUGUUCGGUGAACAUUCCAAGUAUUAUGCCACCAAGUUUGGUGUAUUUAUUUAGUUUCUCUGCCAUUAGCUAUUGAAAGUAGAUAUGGAACACUUCUGCCAUUUAGUGAAAGUGUGUUUUUUUGUUUUGUUUUGUUUUUUUCCCCCUUUCAGACUUGUAGGACUGAUUAACCUUAUUUUCUUAACUUUUUAUUUUUUCUUCCCAAGAUAGAAGAUUGCAUUGUCCUGCAAUGUCACCUAAUGGUAAAAGCGUUGGAAUAAUGCAUGUACGAUGGUAUGUGUCACAGGGUGUGGGAAAAACUGUGCUACAUGCUGCCCUUGAUUCAGCGAUUGAAUGAGGACGAGACGAAUAUCGAAACGGAGAUCCAGAAUCCUCGAGCUAUUGUGAUGGUGCCAUCGCGUGAUUCUCCUCGAUCAGGUCACAAAUAUUGCUCGGAGUCUGACACGUGGCACACAUUUGAAAGUGUUAUCAAUUGGUGGAGGCAGAGGCAUGACGUUUAUGAGGACAUUUUUGCAGAACAAAACGAUUGAUGUUCUUGUGGGAACACCUGGUGUUGUUUGCAUACGUCAAGAUCUGUCCAGUGCCUACCCGGAGAGUUCCUUACGAGUCUGCAAGAUCGGAGGGGGCACAACUGAUCCUCACAGGAGCUACGUUUCCCAAAGGCCUCGACAACCUAUUGUCCAAAGUUAUGGAUGCGAGUGACUCUCAAAUGGAUAUGUUUGUCAUAUAAAUGAUGAUAUAUAGUCAUGUAAAUGACAAAGGAUUGAAACCUCGAUGAAGAACGGCGCCCAGCUGAUGAUCCGGGCAAUUGGGAAAUCAGUCAAUUGCUUAUAAGUGAAGGUUAUAACUUCAAAUAAAACAGCUUUUGUUAAGUAGUUACCAUUACUGUGUGCGC